UGGACUCUGACAAAUGCACGAGAAGAGAGUGUUGCUCUCAAAAAGUUGAGAGUGUAUCCUUCACCUAUAAAUGUGUUUAAAUCUCCUUCCAGCCCUUGAUGAUCAUCUGCCAUGUCUUCAGGCGGCUGAGCUACAGUGAAAAAGCACUGGACCUGGGCUCAGGAAGUCAGCUUAGAGUCUCAAUUCUGCUACUUGUCAUUUGGAUAGAGGUGUUUCUUUGAGAUCAAUUUUCACACGUGUGAAAUGGUGAUAAUUCUACUGUCUCUGCUCCCUUUCUAAGAUGGCUGUGAGGAUGGAAGGAUAACGUUGAAAGAUGGUUCUUGGUCACCUUCACCUCCCAUCAAGCAGCCUCCUCUUGCCGACAGACGUCACUCAGGAAGGACUUCUGGUGAUGCAGAUUUCUUGGGAAAAUUGUUGAUUUCACUGUAUUCGGGAAGGAUGAGUUUUGAUGAUCAUUUCUUGUGCCUAAGAAAACAAUUGAAUGCUGGUGGUUCUCUGGGUAUUCUGAUUGAUAAAAAGAGCAUAAAGUUGAAGUUCACAGCUGAAUUCAAUCCCAGUGAAGAAACAAAGACUGAACUUGAAAGAAUGGUCCCCUCUGCAAUGGUUGGCCAAUGAUAGGUUGGA